GUACGCUGGCGGCACGCCUAACACAUGCAAGUCGAACGAAGUAGCAAUACUUAGUGGCAGACGGGUGAGUAACAUGUGGGUAUCUGCCCUUUGGCCUGGAAUAACACGAGGAAACUUGUGCUAAUACCGGAUAAGUCUUUACGGAGAAAGCUUUAUGCACCAUUGGAUGAGCCCGCACUUGAUUAGUUUGUUGGUAGGGUAAUGGCCUACCAAGACUGUGAUCAAUAGCUGAUUUGAGAGGAUGAUCAGCCACAUUGGGACUGAGACACGGCCCAAACUCCUACGGGAGGCAGCAGUGGGGAAUCUUGCACAAUGGAGGAAACUCUGAUGCAGCGAUGCCGCGUGAGUGAAGAAGGCCUUUGGGUUGUAAAGCUCUUUCGUCGGGGAAGAAAAUGACUGUACCCGAAUAAGAAGGUCCGG
rnacentral:rRNA from 1 species